GAUGAACGCUGGCGGCGUGCCUAAUACAUGCAAGUCGAGCGAACAGACGAGGAGCUUGCUCCUCUGACGUUAGCGGCGGACGGGUGAGUAACACGUGGAUAACCUACCUAUAAGACUGGGAUAACUUCGGGAAACCGGAGCUAAUACCGGAUAAUAUAUUGAACCGCAUGGUUCAAUAGUGAAAGACGGUUUUGCUGUCACUUAUAGAUGGAUCCGCGCCGCAUUAGCUAGUUGGUAAGGUAACGGCUUACCAAGGCAACUAUGCGUAGCCGACCUGAGAGGGUGGUCGGCCACACGGGAACUGAGACACGGUCCAGACUCCUGCGGGAGGCAGCAGUAGCGAAUCUUCCGCAAUGGGCGAAAGCCUGACGGAGCAACGCCGCGUGAGUGAUGAAGGUCUUCGGAUCGUAAAACUCUGUUAUUAGGGAAGAACAAAUGUGUAAUUAACUAUGCACGUCUUGACGGUACCUAAUCAGAAAGCCACGGCUAACUACGUG
rnacentral:rRNA from 1 species